rnacentral:sRNA from 2 species
UACACGAACUCUUGAAUUUUUACUUGGAAAGUUGAGACUGAACAGGUCACUUCCAGUGUGCUAUUUACAUGGAAUUGCUGAACAAAUGUCAGAGACGGUUUGAAUGAAUAAAAAUGAAUACUCCAAUGUCCUUACAAGUGCGCACCGAGACAAAAACCCAAAUGACGCAAAAUGGCAGAGGGUCAAACUUGACCUUCAAGACCUCCGGGACACUUCAAAGCCAGUAGUAGUUGUUACUGUACUGCGCAGAUAUAAGAUCACACGAUAUGGCUCUCACCUUUCUUGCUCUUACCAGCCGUGAUUUGUUGCCUAAUACGGAGCCAUCGUUCCCAACACGUCGCCCAGCACCGCUUCAGAACCACGAAGUCCCAUAAAUAAAAGAUGUACGCAAACAGGGUGACGGGGACACACAAGACAAAAAACCACCAAAAUUUCACGGAGUUCUGUCCCAGGAGGUCCACGUUCAUGCCCAAGAGGCUGGAGCAAAAGGUAAGAGGUAUGAAGAGCGUUGCAAGCAGAGUCAAUUUUUUGAGUCGCUCAGACUGCUCGAUAGCUUUGCGGGAUUCCUCUAUUGUUGCUUUGUUCAUUGCCAAGGUUAUGCCUCGAGUGCAAGUUUUUGACAAACUGAUGCAACGAUCGUGGAGCUGUUCAUAGUCAUGUAGGAGGCCUUGCGCUGUAAAAGAGCCUCGACUUCCAGUGUGUCUGACAGAUCCGAACUCUGGGGUGUUCCACCGUGUACCUACCCCGGGCCGUGGAGUGCGUGAGAACUAUCCUUUAGCUGUUGGGAGUGUCGGUUUAGAAUGCUGGAAAAGUAUUGGAGAGAUCCCAAUAAUUCAGCUGGAACUCCUUCGGCUAUUUGAUUUACCCAUUCUUGGAUCUUGCAUUCCAUGAGAUUCAGGAAUUGAACUUCGGAAAAGGCCGCGUGCGCGAACAACGGUAUGCACAUCGAAAGCGGGUCGUGAGGUGCGAGACGAGCCAGAUCGACAAGCGCAAUCAACGAAUCAUACUGCAGGGGAAGGACGGCCGUGCUCUGGAAAACCUCUGCAGAAGCAUUCGCAUUCGGAUCUAAGCGAUUCGUGGUAGUUCUAAAAGCCAUCUUGGGAUGAUGUUGGAGCACUGGCAUUGGCGUAGCCAUGGAUUUGAUGUGGCUUAUCCAUGGCCCCGGAGGCGAUUUUUCCAAUGGCCUACCUUGGUCCAUCCAGGCAAUGACUGGGGACGCAUAUCAGUAAACUGUUUUUCGUAGUUUAGGUAUUGUGGCAUUAUCUCUUACCAGCCCACCCCUGAUCUGUUCUUGUGACACAAAAUGAGAUCCAUUGUUCGACUACAGAAAAGCGCGAACAAACAGUGGAGUACUCGCGCACCAGGGAGUCGCCACAGCAGACUCGGCUAGAUCCCAGCUGUACUCGCCUGUAUAUUUUGAGCUCGCUAGAUUGAUCUGACCGCUGUGACUGGAGGUCCUGCCCGCCGAAAUCGUCUCGAUGAAGGAGGGUACUUACACAAAGCCGAAAUAUAUUGUUGGAAGUGCUGGCAAGCGAUGGGAGACUGUACGAAUGCCUAAUAAUGCCUACAGAAAGAAAAUCCAUGUGUCGCCUAAAAAAUUCCGGGUCAAUUCUGUAUUUGCUCCCAAUGGCCGACACCCACAAUGGCGACAGAAAACCUCGAAUGAAAACUAUUUGUCCUGCCCCUGCUGGAACAGAGGUGGCCACCGAAAAGUCUUCAUGUUGCUCUUGGCUAUAGUGUUGCACAUCCCACUUGCCUUCGCGGCUAUUAUACACCACAACUAGAUCGUGAGGCUGUUCCGCCUUGGAUGCAAAAAGCCGAGCAUUUUCCAGCUUUUCCGGGUUGAAAAUGCUGCGGUCUUGCAACAUCCAUUCAGCAAUAGCAACAUAAUUGUUUCCGGGGA